rnacentral:rRNA from 1 species
UUCCGGUUGAUCCUGCCGGAGGUCAUUGCUAUCGGGGUCCGAUUUAGCCAUGCUAGUCGCACGGGUUUAGACCCGUGGCGAACAGCUCAGUAACACGUGGCCAAACUACCCUACGGAGGAGGAUAACCUCGGGAAACUGAGGCUAAUCCUUCAUAACGCUCCCAUGCUGGAAUGCAGGGGGCGGGAAACGCUCAGGCGCCGUAGGACGUGGCUGCGGCCGAUUAGGUAGACGGUGGGGUAACGGCCCACCGUGCCGAUAAUCGGUACGGGUUGUGAGAGCAAGAGCCCGGAGAUGGAAUCUGAGACAAGAUUCCAGGCCCUACGGGGCGCAGCAGGCGCGAAACCUUUACACUGCACGAGAGUGCGAUAAGGGGAUCCCGAGUGCGAGGGCAUAUCGUCCUCGCUUUUCUGUACCGUAGGGAGGUACAGGAAUAAGUGCUGGGCAAGACCGGUGCCAGCCGCCACGGUAAUACCGGCAGCACAAGUGAUGACCGUUAUUAUUGGGCCUAAAGCGUCCGUAGCCGGCCAGACAAGUUCGUUGGGAAAUCCACCCGCUCAACGGGUGGGCGUCCAGCGAAAACUGUUUGGCUUGGGGCCGGAAGACCCAGGGGGUACGUCCGGGGUAGGAGUGAAAUCCUGUAAUCCUGGACGGACCGCCGGUGGCGAAAGCGCCCUGGGAGGACGGACCCGACGGUCAGGGACGAAAGCUAGGGUCUCGAACCGGAUUAGAUACCCGGGUAGUCCUAGCUGUAAACGAUGCCCGCUAGGUGUGGCACAGGCUACGAGCCUGUGCUGUGCCGUAGGGAAGCCGUGAAGCGGGCCGCCUGGGAAGUACGUCCGCAAGGAUGAAACUUAAAGGAAUUGGCGGGGGAGCACUACAACCGGAGGAGCCUGCGGUUUAAUUGGAGUCAACGCCGGG